AGAGUUUGAUCCUGGCUCAGAAUGAACGCUGGCGGCGUGCUUAACACAUGCAAGUCGAACGGUAACAGGAAGUAGCUUGCUAGUUUGCUGACGAGUGGCGCACGGGUGAGUAAUAUAUAGAUAAUGUGCCCCUUGGACCGGGAUAGCCAUUGGAAACGAUGAUUAAUACCGGAUACUCCUUCUUACCAUAAGGUAAGUCGGGAAAUGGAUUCCGCCAAGGGAUCGGUCUAUAUCCCAUCAGUUAGUUGGUAGUGUAAGAGACUACCAAGACGAUGACGGGUAGCGGGUUUGAGAGGAUGAUCCGCCACACUGGUACUGAGACACGGACCAGACUCCUACGGGAGGCAGCAGUGAGGAAUAUUGCACAAUGGGGGAAACCCUGAUGCAGCAACGCCGCGUGGAGGAUGACGCAUUUCGGUGUGUAAACUCCUUUUAUAUGUCAAGAAAAUGACGGUAGCAUAUGAAUAAGCACCGGCUAACUCCGUGCCAGCAGCCGCGGUAAUACGGAGGGUGCAAGCGUUAUUCGGAAUCACUGGGCGUAAAGGACGCGUAGGCGGGUUGGAAAGUCAGAUGUGAAAUCCUACAGCUUAACUGUAGAACUGCAUUUGAAACUUCCAAUCUAGAGUAUGGGAGGGGGAGAUGGAAUUAGUGGUGUAGGGGUAAAAUCCGUAGAUAUCACUAGGAAUACCGAAAGCGAAGGCGAUCUCCUGGAACAUAACUGACGCUAAGGCGUGAAAGCGUGGGGAGCAAACAGGAUUAGAUACCCUGGUAGUCCACGCCCUAAACGAUGUUCACUAGUCGUCGGGAUGCUAGUCAUCUCGGUGAUGCACUUAACAGAUUAAGUGAACCGCCUGGGGAGUACGGUCGCAAGAUUAAAACUCAAAGGAAUAGACGGGGACCCGCACAAGUGGUGGAGCAUGUGGUUUAAUUCGAAGAUACGCGAAGAACCUUACCUAGCCUUGACAUUGAGAGAACCUGCCAGAGAUGGCGGGGUGCCCUUCGGGGAGCUCGAAAACAGGUGCUGCACGGCUGUCGUCAGC
rnacentral:rRNA from 1 species